rnacentral:rRNA from 1 species
AGCAGCCGCGGUAAUUCCAGCUCCAAUAGCGUAUAUUAAAGUUGUUGCAGUUAAAAAGCUCGUAGUUGAAUUUCGGGAUCAAUAUAUCGGUCGUGCCUCCGGUAUGCACUGGUAUUAUUGAUUUCUACCUUCUGACGAACUGUGAUGUCAUUAAUUUGGUGUCAUGGGGAAUCAGGACUGUUACUUUGAAAAAAUUGAGUGUUUAAAGCAGGCACACGCUUGAAUACAUUAGCAUGGAAUAAUGAAAUAGGACGUUUGACCCUAUUUUGUGGUUUCUAGGAUCGACGUAAUGAUUAAUAGGGAUAGUUGGGGGCAUUAGUAUUCAAUUGUCAGAGGUGAAAUUCUUGGAUUUAUUGAAGACUAACUACUGCGAAAGCAUUUUGCCAAGGAUGUUUCAUUAAUCAAAGAACGAAAGUUAGGGAUCGAAGACGAUCAGAUACCGUCGUAGUCUUAACCAUAAACUAUGCCGACUAGGGAUCGGAUGAUGUUAAUUUUUAAUGUACUCAUUC